GGAAUGUGGCUCAAGUAGUAGCGCGCUCGCCUAGUAUGCGUGAGGCACUGGGUUCGAUUCUCAACACCA
rnacentral:tRNA from 1 species